GAUGAACGCUGGCGGCGUGCUUAAUACAUGCAAGUCGAGCGAACAGACGAGGCGCUUGCUCCUUUCACGUUUGCGGCGGACGGGAGUGAAACAUGUGUAUCCCAUACUUAUCUGUCUGGGAUAAUUUCGGGAAACCGGCGCAAACACCGGAUAAUAUCUUGAUCCGUAUGGUUCGAUAGUGAAAGUCGGCUUUGCUGUCACUAAUCGAUGGAUACGGGCUGCAUUAGCUAGUUGGUAAGGUCACGGCUUAUGAAGGCAACGAUGCGUAGACGACGUGAGGGGGUGAUCGGCCACACUAGAACGUGGACACGGACCAUGCGCCUGCGGGAGGCAGCAGUAGGGAAUCGGCCGCAAUAGGCGAAAGCAUGACGGAGCAACGCGGCGUGAGAGAUGAAGGUCUUCGGAGCGUAAAGCUCUGUUAUUAGGGAAGAACAAAUGUGGAAGGAACUAUGCACUGCUUGACGGUACCUAGUCAAAAAGCAACGGCUAACUACGUG
rnacentral:rRNA from 1 species